ensembl:scaRNA
GUGGCCUGCCCUUCUGCUACACAUGCUCAGGUCUGGCAGGACACACGGCGCCGUCCCUCUCAGAGUAGGAGGCCGUCUUAAGAAAGGGGCUGGCUCGAAUGGGCAUGAGAGGACAAU